GGGAACGUGCCCUUCGGUUCGGAAUAACUCAGGGAAACUUGAGCUAAUACCGGAUACGCCCUUAUGGGGAAAGGCUUGACUGCCGAAGGAUCGGCCCGCGUCUGAUUAGCUAGUUGGUGAGGUUAUGGCUCACCAAGGCGACGAUCAGUAGCUGGUCUGAGAGGAUGAUCAGCCACACUGGGACUGAGACACGGCCCAGACUCCUACGGGAGGCAGCAGUGGGGAAUAUUGGACAAUGGGGGCAACCCUGAUCCAGCCAUGCCGCGUGAGUGAUGACGGCCUUAGGGUUGUAAAGCUCUUUUCUCCGGGACGAUAAUGACGGUACCGGAGGAAUAAGCCCCGGCUAACUUCGUGCCAGCAGCCGCGGUAAUACGAAGGGGGCUAGCGUUGCUCGGAAUCACUGGGCGUAAAGGGCGCGUAGGCGGCUGAUUUAGUCGAGGGUGAAAGCCCGUGGCUCAACCACGGAAUGGCCUUCGAUACUGGUUGGCUUGAGACCGGAAGAGGACAGCGGAACUGCGAGU
rnacentral:rRNA from 1 species